rnacentral:rRNA from 1 species
CGGUUAAGUUAGAAAGGGCGCACGGUGGAUGCCUUGGCACUAGGAGCCGAUGAAGGACGGGACGAACACCGAUAUGCUUCGGGGAGCUGUAAGCAAGCUUUGAUCCGGAGAUUUCCGAAUGGGGAAACCCACUGCUCGUAAUGGAGCAGUAUCYAUAUCUGAAUUCAUAGGA